ACAUUCACGCUUUCACCCUACAACAUUUACGCAAGAAAUUAAUUAAGUGGGUAAAUGAAAUUAUAUAAGCAAACACUUUCGCCUUAUAGAUUUACCUUUUGAGCUUUCUCCUCGCUCCAAGACCUCGAUUGAUGUGAGCACACCACUACAAGUAGGAAAAAUCACAAGCGCUGAUUGUUUUAUCACUUCAUCAUCUGAAGAUGAAUGACUUAAAUUUGUUGCAUCGUUGAUUCACGUAAACUUGUUCAAACAUAUGGGAUGCCAUUGGGGCAAGUUCUGUUGGACUUGUUACUGCCGUCAACCACUGUGUUAUUUCAAGUAGGACCACAAAUGGUCAGGUACAAAAAGAAAUAUGCAAGCAGAUUGUUUUGCCUUGCGGUAAGGUACAGGAUACUCACCUUUUUGUUUUCCUUCAGCACUUUGUUGGCACAAGGGCUGUAUCAUUUCAGACGUAAGGCCUGCUGCUUUAUUGACCAUGUAGUUCUUCAGCUUCAGACCUAAAUCCGUGGUUUUCUCCAGGAAACUCCUUCUCUUACUGAAUGUCUUUUGGACCUGCCAUGUAGAUUAUCGUUUUUUCAGAAAUUUCAGUGAUUUGGUGAGAACCGAAUCCAAGUGUAGUUGGAGCUGAUACUGAGUAUAUAUGUGCAUAUGCCUGGCGAAGUCAUGUGAUUUUAUAAAAAGGGAAAUAUAAGGAACCUAGCUUGAGGAAUUUCUGUUUGACCAACUCCUCUAAAACAAACUGAUCCACCUAGAACUAUGGUGUAGAUGUUUUAAUAACAAAUAGAUCAGCUUGGAGUUCCAAGUACCCAACAAUCAGUAUACAUAAAUAACAUUAAAAUAACAAAAAAUACAUGUAGUGACCUGUAACUUCCCAUUUUGAUGUCAACUUCACCAAUAAAAGUGGCAUCAUCAUCUAAUAGUAGUAUGUGCCGGUACUCAUCUAUUUUGAUCAUUAGUAAUUCUUUGGGCACUAAAAAAACUUCUUUACCAAAAAAUUAUGGCCAGUAUGAUAUUAAUGUCAAAUCCUCUAGCAGUAAGUCAGUAACUAUGGCAAUUCUUCUUGUUCGUAGCCUUCUAUAAUACUUAAAGUUCCAUUCUAGAAGAAGAACCCAAAAAGGAAAUUGAAACCAAUUAUAGAUACAGUGGUGUGCUAUGGAUCCAAUGGCUAAUGUUGCAAAAAUGAAAAACAAUGCCUUGGAGUAUUUAUUGGACAUAGAAGACAGUUUGCAUACCAUUACCAUCACAUGUCUGCAAUCGCACAACUAAGGAGAGCAGGAGACCACUCCAUAUGGGUGGUUAGUUAUCUAAAAAAAAAGAUUGCCUAACACAUCAUACCUAUGCCCUUGGCGAAGC
rnacentral:lncRNA from 1 species